rnacentral:pre_miRNA from 1 species
AUAGUACUCCCUUCGUCCGGAAAUACUUGUUAUCAAAAUGAAUAAAAAGAGAUGUAUCUAGAACUAAAAUACAUCUAGAUACAUCCCCUUUUAUCCAUUUUGAUGACAAGUAUUUUCGGACGGAGGGAGUACGGG